rnacentral:rRNA from 1 species
UGGGGAAUUUUGGACAAUGGGCGCAAGCCUGAUCCAGCCAUGCCGCGUGCGGGAAGAAGGCCUUCGGGUUGUAAACCGCUUUUGUCAGGGAAGAAAUCUUCUGAGUUAAUACCUCGGGAGGAUGACGGUACCUGAAGAAUAAGCACCGGCUAACUACGUGCCAGCAGCCGCGGUAAUACGUAGGGUGCAAGCGUUAAUCGGAAUACUGGGCGUAAAGCGUGCGCAGGCGGUUUUGUAAGACAGAGGUGAAAUCCCCGGGCUCAACCUGGGAACUGCCUUUGUGACUGCAAGGCUUGAGUGCGGCAGAGGGGGAUGGAAUUCCGCGUGUAGCAGUGAAAUGCGUAGAUAUGCGGAGGAACACCGAUGGCGAAGGCAAUCCCCUGGGCCUGCACUGACGCUCAUGCACGAAAGCGUGGGGAGCAAAACAGGAUUAGAUAGCCCUGGUAGUCCACGCCCUAAACGAUGUCAACUGGUUGUUGGGAAGGUUCCUUCUCAGUAACGUAGCUAACGCGUGAAGUUGACCGCCUGGGGAGUACGGCCGCAAGGUUGAAACUCAAAUGAAUUGACGGGGU